GAUGAACGCUGGCGGCGUGCCUAAUACAUGCAAGUCGAGCGAACGGACGAGAAGCUUGCUUCUCUGAUGUUAGCGGCUGACGGGUGAGUAACACGUGGAUAACCUACCUAUAAGACUGGGAUAACUUCGGGAAACCGGAGCUAAUACCGGAUAAUAUUUUGAACCGCAUGGUUCAAAAGUGAAAGACGGUCUUGCUGUCACUUAUAGAUGGAUCCGCGCUGCAUUAGCUAGUUGGUAAGGUAACGGCUUACCAAGGCAACGAUGCAUAGCCGACCUGAGAGGGUGAUCGGCCACACUGGAACUGAGACACGGUCCCGACUCCUAAGGGAGGCAGCAGUAGGGAAUCUUCCGCAAUGGGCGGAAGCCUGACGGAGCAACGCCGCGUGAGUGAUGAAGGUCUUCGGAUCGUAAAACUCUGUUAUUAGGGAAGAACAUAUGUGUAAGUAACUGUGCACAUCUUGACGGUACCUAAUCAGAAAGCCACGGCUAACUACGUG
rnacentral:rRNA from 1 species